rnacentral:lncRNA from 1 species
GACAACCAUAGGCUUUAUUAGGGGAAGAAGAAGGAAACAUACCUAUUAUAGGAGAAAGAUUCGAUGAGUAGACAAGAGAUUUGAAUGGUCGAAGAAUUGCGUGAAGAAAUGUUACAAAACGAUGGUCGAAAGGAUGCUCCAAGUGAAUGAACGAAGUCAACAAAAUUAAAACAAGCAACCUUUAAGGCUACACCAGUAAAUUUGGGGUUUUAUCUUCAGUGUUCAACGAUUUUGAUGGAGUAACUUU